UACGUAGGGUGCAAGCGUUGUCCGGAAUUAUUGGGCGUAAAGAGCUCGUAGGCGGUCUGUCGCGUCUGCUGUGAAAACUCAGGGCUUAACCCUGAGCUUGCAGUGGGUACGGGCAGACUAGAGUGCGGUAGGGGAGACUGGAAUUCCUGGUGUAGCGGUGAAAUGCGCAGAUAUCAGGAGGAACACCGGUGGCGAAGGCGGGUCUCUGGGCCGUAACUGACGCUGGAGGAGCGAAAGCAUGGGGGAGCGAACAGG
rnacentral:rRNA from 1 species